UAAAGACAACAAGAGCACGUGGAUAUUCAACCCUCCCCACUCUUCCCACAUGGGUGGAGUGUGGGAGAGGAUGAUUGGCAUUGCUCGACAUAUUUUAGAUGCUCUUCUUCUCAAGCUGAAUCCAUCGUAUCUUACACAUGAGAUACUAGUCACUCUGAUGGCAGAAGUCACUGCUAUUAUGAACUCAAGACCAUUGGUCUCAGUGUCCUCUGACCCAGAAGCACCAGCAGUUCUCACCCCAGCAAUGUUGUUGACACAUAAAAAGGAUACAUUGGCUGCACCGUCUGGGGAUUUUGAUAUUAACGACCUUUCCAACAAACACUGGAAGAGAGUCCAAGCACUUGCUGAUGCUUUUUGGAAAAGGUGGAGGCAGGAGUAUCUGAUAACGCUUCAAGCAAAAGGAAAGUGGAAUUCAGAAAAGCCCAAUCUGCAAGUAGGAGAUGUUGUGCUGCUGAAGGACUCUCAAAUGAAAAGGACUGAGUGGCCUACUGGACUCGUGGUUAAAACCUUUCCUAGUCAAGAUAAUAGAGUGCGGAAGGUGGAAGUCAGAGUAGUCAGACAUGAUAUUGCUAGAGUGUAUUUGCGCCCUGUUUCAGAGUUGAUUUUAUUGUUCCAUGCAGAAAAUGUAUAGUGGUAUAAAAUACCAGGCGGGGAGUGUGCUGCCACUGCUGGAGUGCAGUAGCGCUGCUAGCCCACUAGGGGGGCUCACUAGGGUGAGCUUGUUAACCCAAGUUUCUGUUGCAGAAGAAGAAAGGUUGCUGGAGUCUGAUAAAAUAACGGCAGUUCAAAAGUUAUUGUUUCAAAGUUGUUUUCUCACAGAGCAUGGGAAAUAUAUGCCUUUUUACAGUGCCUUCAUUAGAGAGACAAAUAAACCCUGCGAUGAUGGCGGAAAGCUUUUGCCUCUUCUUUUGAAGAACUGUUUAUCUAUCUGCCAAACUGGGCACCCACGUACAGUGAGGGCAGAAUAGU